CAGGAGAUGAAAGAUAUCUUGAUGAAAGAUGAGGAUCUGCUCUUGAUGGACAUCUCAAGGAGGUCUGUCUUCAGCUGUGGGAGCCAGGCUGAGUUUCCAUAUCUCUUGCUGGAGCUCUGCACAGCCCCAGCCAGCUGCUGCCACUUGAGCUAAGAACCAGAGCCAUGAGAUCUGGGACGCACAGAUGGACGCACACGUUUCCCAUCCCAUUGACCAUGAGCUGUCCCCACUGAGUGUGAUGGAGAAGGGGGAAAACCACUCAUACUGCGCCUGCUUUGGUAUUUCUGGCACCACCGCUCACUGGGGAAUCAGAGCGCACACUCCUUGCCCUAAGGGGGCUGCAAUUUCCCCUUCCUACUCCUCAAACCCCAAACAAACAGCUGCGGGGGGCUCAUCCCACGUGUUCCUCUGCACUGUGUCCUCGUGUUCAGCGCUGUGCUGGGGGGCUCAGCACGUCCCUGCUUGCAACGCCCUGGUGCUGACGCACUGGCAGUGACGGCGAGGUCGGGGCAAGGGUUUCGCAUUUCCCUGCCCGGCUGUUUACCCCGGGCUCAGGCUGCAUCCAAACAACUGCUACAGCACGUCCUGAGUCACCACAGGCUCUGGCAGCCGAGCGGGUUCGCCUGCCAGCUUCCCAGUACAGAAAGCGAGCCGGGCUCAGGAUGAAGGCACAACCUGCCUUUGCUUCGUGCCAUGCGUUUAUUGCCUGGGUUUGGGUGGUUUGGGGCACCUGAGUGAUGGGCGCAUCGUUCCUGCUGCUGGACAAAGCAUCGUGAUGAUGUGGUUGGAGAGGCUCUGAGGUCGGGCAGGCUCUGGGGUUUGAGAGGCUCUGGGGUCAGGUAGGUUCUGGGGUCGCCCAACCCAUGUGUUGAGCCAACGGGAGCCCCAGUCUGCACCCCUGUGUGUGCUGGCACUCACAGAGGUGUGCAUGGAUCCCAGAGCAUCUCCCAAACUUGCCAGCUCUGUAAGAGCAAGGUCUUCCUGCAGCCCCAGCCGCCAGGCAUCCCACCAGUGUGGGCUUGGGGUGAAGGCAAGGGUCGCAUUAGCUGCACUCCCCCUCAUUUUCAGCCCAUGGUGUGAGCAGGGAUGUGCUGUGGGUCCCCUCCCCAUCUCGCCUUAAACUGAUGCUCCUUCCAGAGGUGGCCAGCCCCAAAAACCCACCCCACACAGCCCACCAAGCCUGGACAAGUACGGCUCCCUCGGGCCGUGGGACACGUGCGGGAUCACACGCGAUCGCCUCCAUCCCUGCUGCCUUCUGAUGCUACUUAAAAAUCUGGUCAUUUUGCAUUCAGACAGAGUCAAGUCAUUGAUGAAACGGGGUGACUAAGCCCUGGCACACAUCAGCCACAUCCCUCGCUGCUUUGUCUCCUCUAGUUUGUAGCCGGGCCGUUAGCCACCGCGGCGCCAGCGCCAGCUCAACCUCGUGGCUGCAAGCACAGCCCGGUAGCACACCAGAAAAGGUACCAAUAGGUUCUCCAAAAUUUGGCUCUCAGACUGUAAAUCAGUCUCUAGAAAAGCCCUCUUUCCACCCACGUGUCCUCCACCAAGUUACGCAAAUCGCUGCCAUUGCAACAACAAUUUGUUAGGCAUUCUUUGAUGGUUUGUUAAAUUGCUCUCGGAUUCACAGUGUUUGACUUGGGUCAGUUUCUGAGCAGCUCAGCUGCACCCAAAAAUUAAAAAAAAAAAAUAAAAAAUAUAAAAGAGGGGAAGAGAGAUUGAGGAAGAGGAAACCCAGCAGCAACCAGAGGCAAUUUCACGUUUAAGAGGACCAAAGGGUUUGCAGACCGUGUUCCCCCUUGCACGUGUUGUUCCCAGCUGCUGAGGUGGAAACCCACUGCCUGCCUUUGGCAAAGAAACCUCAGAGAAACAAGCAAACAUAUCACUGCUGACAGGUGCCUCUUCUGCCUUAACUCAUCCCGCUCAGGGCACGGUUCAAAACACAGCGAUUUUGGUAGCAAAGCUGCUUCAGAGUCCCUCAUCCCACCCCAGAGCCCUGUCCUCAGCUGUCAGCUGGACCUGGGUCUCCAGCUGGGAAAUGGACCCAGACUGGAGAAAAUAUAACGGCUUUUUUAAAUUUAUUUUUUAUUAUUUUUUGCAAAGGUAGUGUUGUUUCGCAGUGUGGGUCCAUCCCCGGAGCAGUGGUGUUGGCACAAAACCGGGCAGCAUCCCGUGGUGCUGGGGUGAAGGAGCUUCCUUGGGCUGCAAAAGCCCAAAUCCCAGCCCCUGCCACAUCCCGCUGCUCCUGUUAGAAAUCCCUCAUUAAUCAGAGGGCUUUCUAAGAAAAUCAUUGAGCAGGAUUAAAACCAAGUCAAAAACUCCGAUCUCUGCCCUGGGCAUGCUACAGUCUCCUAUUGGCAUCAAGGUUGGAUGUUUGCCCAGAUCACACCCUGGGGUGAAGGGACCAGUUUCCUCCAAAAUUAUAUCCCUGGUUAAGAAGCAUUUAUUCUCCACUCAUGCAGGAUAAACUGGCAGUGCCCAUCUGUAUUUUUAGGGGCAGAAUAACUUGGUUUCUUUGCGUCCCAACACAGAAAUCAGCACUGUGGCUCUGUGGUGGGCAUUUAGUCCCUGCCUUGAAGCCCAAGAGCAAGGCAUCAGAAGUGCAGGAGCAGCCAGAGCACCCCAGGGACUGAAAUUUGUGCACGGGCAGGGGGGCUCCAUCCCCCCUGGGGGCUUGAAAACAGAUGUGAGUGCAGGAGGCAGGAUGCCUGAUUUUACCCUGGAACCACUUGCAAUAAACCCUAGCGAGUUUAACAAAUUCUGCUGUUUACCAAGCCGAGCUGUUACCGAGCUUUCCUAGAAAUCUCGGUGGAGGAGACCUAGGCACCAGCUCCUGCUGCUCGUGUCCCUGCUGGUGACUGGGGAAGUGGAGGCAGUGAGGACAUCCUCCUCGCGCACGCGUGAGCGGGGCGUGCACAGCCCGUGCACGCUCCGCGGGCUUGCAUGUGCUCGGAAGCCCCACGGCCCCACCAUCCGCCGCGUGCCUGCCAGAAAAGAAGCUGUAAACAAGUUUACCCUGCUGCCCUGCAAAAGGGCUCUCCCCGGGUAAGCUCGGGCAAGCGAGCUGCCAAGAGGAGUGCUCGGGGAGGGAAAUAAAUCAUCUUGUCUGGAAGGGGUUUUGUGUUGCAGCUGGUUUAACUCCAGCCCUGCCGUGUCCCUGCCCAAAAACCUGCUGCCGGUCCUACCAGGCGAGCCAAAACCAGGGCUGAGGCUGCUCGGGAACACAGCAGCACCUCCUUUUUUUCUAGUAAAUUUAAUAUUUCAUGUUCCCCAGCCCCAAAGCAGCACCGUUUCUACCUGGGUUGUUUCACAGGGAGAUAUUUGUACACCCCAGCCUCUGCAGCCUGAGCUCAGAUACUCUGUUCCCAGAACAAAUACAGCUUUUCCCACUUUCCAACCCAAAUCUCUCUGGGUGGGGUUUUAACACCUACACGGGCUGAUGUUCAAGCCAUGUGUCACACUACCCUAAGGUGCAGAGCAGCGAUGCACACCGGGAUGUCCCUGCCCUGGGACAGGGGACACACGUUGCGUGCUCCGGCAGGGACAGGUUUGAUGCAGAGUGCGCUGGAGCUGCAGAUAAGGGGUUUGGAUCCCUGCCACGCUGCUGCCAGAAAGGAACCGGCAGCAAGACUGCAAGCACCCUGCAGAAUUGUGUGCGUGGCCCCAAAUCACUGGGGAUGCACCAGGCUCCAGUGGGGAUUUCAUUUUCGCAUGUGGCAGGGAGGAGAUGGCACCCGGAGGGAUGCUCUGCCCGGGAUGGGAUGCAGCCAGACACAUAGAGGACAGCGUGACCACAAGUCCUGGGGCAGAGCCACCAGCAGGUGCCCCGGGGUUGUCUCACCAAAGCUCCCCAUGAAGCCCCAGGGCACUGGGAGGUUGGGGACAGCCCGUUUCGGUACAGUAGCAGUGUCAUGGCUACACGCAGCCAGGUACAGUGCGUCGGACUUGUCGUUCCAUGGUAUCAAGUCACCGCCUUUGCUAGAAAUAGCACGGGCUCGUUGCAGCCUUGUGCCUCUCCGCUCGGGUCCUGAAGGUCUCCAAAAAGCCACAGCCACCAGCAUAGCGCUGCACCCUCCGCUGCCUCAGUUUCCCCUGCCACAAGUGAUAAAUCUCAGAUGGGGAUUAAAGGACUCAGAUGGGGAUUAAACCCUUAGAUGGGGAAUAAAGGACUGGGGAGAAGGGCUAAGAAACUCAGCAGCCAAACACGAACCAACAGCAUGAUGCUCCUGGGGUAAAAACUAAAUAAAUAAAAGUCCCUGAUCACCUUUUUUUUCAGCCUUUCCGCUGUGAAAAUGUGUCUAUGUUUCAUAAACUGCUGGGUGCCCUGUGGAGACUGAAGGCAGCACUCGUUUGCGUGCGUGCACGCACGCAGCAGGCGAAAAGCGAUCACGCCUUGCCGGCUGCUGGUUUUGAAAUCCUCCCACAUCCCUCGGCGAAGAGCCUGCGGUCAUCUGAUUUUAGGCGAACACCUCCAGAGCUCGCCUUCACCAGGCGGGAUGGCUCCUGCCACACGCAAGAAUGCAGGGAUGAAGCUCCUGUCAUCGCAGCAGGGAGGCGAUGGGGAGGGAGGUAGGGUUGUUUUACGGCAAGAUGAAUUUCUCUGUAGUUGAGGGUGUGUUGGGAAGGGGUGACGCACGCCUAGGUGGGCUUUUUUGACAUGAGGUGGUCACUGAGCAUGGUGUUCAGCUGGUGGCACAUGUAAAAAGCAGUUGGGUUGUGCCACUGCCUCUUCAUCAUGUAAAUAUGGCAUGGGAGAGUCCUCCAUCGGUGCAAGAGGGAGGCUGGAGACCAAGAGGAGGGUUCUUUGACGGUUUCUCCAGCAGCCCGAGCUGCCUGCUGGGUGUCUGGCCCUGGGAAGGCAGGUUGGAGGCACGUCUGCCUGCUCCCAGCUUAGGAAAUGCUAUCAGGAAUCGCAUCUUUACGUGGUUUCAAUUCCCAGACUCAGGAAGUCUGAGAGGCUCUGAUAACCUGCUUAACCCACCGUCUGGUUUCCGUGGGUCCCCAAAAUCCCCACUGGACAUCACAGCUCCCCUGAAACAGCUCUAAGCCUCCUGCCCCCAUUUAAAGCUGGGCGGUGGGUCCAGCUCCAGCACAACCCCUGGACACGGUGACUCCUUAAACCCAUUAAAAGCUCUUAAUGAAUGCUACGAAAGCUAAAGUAAGUGUAAUGUCACAAAGACAGUGGAGAGGUCGGGCUCGUCGAGUGCUUUCUUGCAGGUGAGGAGAGCAGGGACGUGCUCAGAUGGAUGGGAUGGGGGCACGGAUACCUGUGAGUUUGGGUCAUUUGCUCGUGUUUUUGCUCCAGAAGCCAGCCAGGCAAAAGGAGCUCAAAUUAAACCAAGAGCCACAAGGAAAUCACCCCGGUAAGAAGCACAUUCCCGGGGGAAAGCAGGACACGAGGGAGUUUCCAGUCUUCCAGGAAAGGUGAUGGCUGAAAACAAGGCGACGAUUUAAUGAAAGCACGAGCCAGUGAGUCAGGGAAGCUGGAGACAGCUCCGCUGCACAUUUCCUGCCUGCCCUUUGAGCAGAUGGCUGUGAGCAGACGCCCACACGGGCACGGACACCAGGACGGACCCAAGGGGGGGGCCGGGACACUCAGACCCCCCCAGAAGCUCCCGCCUGCUUCUCCUGAGCUGCGUCACCCGGAGGAGCAAUUCACCCGUGCUCGUAAAUCCCCCUUUGAGCUGAAAUGCUGAGGAGUGCCGGGAAAGCAGAGAGGAGAGGAGCGAGAGCUGACGUGAGCAGCAAACUCAGCAGUGCACGGGUUUGCAAGCCAGAAAGCAGCAAAAAGGGGAGAGAAAAUACCCGCUUAAGGACCAGGAACCUGCAGAAAAGCACAUCUCCGCCCUGAGCUGGAAUCGCCCUGGAAAAGUCUGCAGCAGGGUGUGUUACCACCUGAACACACACACGGGUUGUGAUUUAAGGGAAGAGCGCAAUAAAGGGACGCGGAGCAAAAAUAGCACCAGGAUGUGGCACUGGCCUGCCCCUUCCCUUCGUACUCGUGUGCCGAAAGCACCUCUGUUCCCCCUAACCAUUCAAAGAGCUUCCGUGACCUCAACGAGCAGAAAUAGGGCCAGAAGACAUCCGUGUGCCCCUGGAGGGGACAUUGCAAACCAGGGCUCCGGCACCAGUUUGGAGGUGCUGUGGGACAUCCAGCACACCUGUAGCGGGGUCAGUAGGUGCAGCAGAGCAGGUCUCUGCCCUACAAGUGGCUCCAGGGCUGAAUUUGGGGUUUUUGUCACAGUCUCCAAGAUCUCCAGACAGCUCAGCUGAUGGGGGGUGGAUCGGUCCAGGAGGCUGGUGUGAUGUAGGGAGGAAGGACCUGGGUCAGGGCUGGUUUUUCAAGCCUGCUGUUCUCCCCUCUAUGGUGGGUGCUCAUCUUCUCUAGCCCUUUGGUUGGAUCCAUCUCGGCUGCGUGCUGCCAGUGUGAAGCCAAGCAUCUGUCUCUCUUUGUGGGCACUGGAGAUGGAGAGGUCCCCUUAGGGCUAUAGACCCCAUCCACCAUAACCACCCCUCUUCUGAUCCUGCUUGCCCAUUGCCUCCUGGGGGGACAUGGAUGUCUGGCUCAUGAUGAAGACCUUACUCCAGGGGGUUAAGCAAGGCGAGACCUAUCUGGCCCCAUGUGAUACGUGCAAGGACGCCCUCCAGACCGCUCUCAGCCCGGGGAAGAGAUGUUUAAUCCAACUCAUGUGCACAGCAAUCACGGGGCACCACCUCCCUUCCUGCUACCAGCCCAGCUGAUAAGGACAGAGCUCAGGUUUCAGCCACAGACCCCUCAGGAGCCCCCAGACCCCCCCCUUGUGCGUUUUCCAGCAUCCCUCCUUCCUCUCCUGCCCCCACGAGCCGUGGCCGCUCCUCCAGAUGCUGCACAGGACCCCAACGCCGCGUGGUGACAAACCAUGGCCACUCCGUGCGCGCCACAGGGCACGCUCCCCAGGGGAUUUCCCCAAAACACACCCAGCAGCCCUGUCUGGAGACGGGGCGUCCUCCAGCCCGGGUCAGCAGGUCCAUCACGCCUAUGGCUCUUCUAAUCUCCACCUUGCUAUCAGCUCUUCCUGCUCACCCUGCAGAGACAGCGUGCUCAGCACCACCAACUCUCUCUCCAUGGCCUCCAGUCCAGCAGUAACGUGCCCUGAUGACCAGCAAUCCCAGCAGGUCUCCUUGUCCAACAGCUAAAAGCCAACCCCAGCCUUUAGAUACAGCCAGAACCUUACUCGUGAUAUCAACCAUUAUUUAUUUCAUCUGGGAAACGCCUCGCAUCCAUCCUGCCCCUUCUACCUGCCCAGUUGCUGUGGCCAUGCCCAAGGGAGCCCAUUGCCACCAGCAUCCCGUGCUCGACCUUUGCUCGCUGCAUUUCAGCCUCAUCUCCUGCACCUUCCCAGCCUGCAGCACCGCGAGAAACUCAUUUGUCCUUUGACAGAUGACGAACGCCCUGUUCUCUGCCAAGAUCCUGUCUGCUUAACCUGCACAUGCUCCCACUCUUCCCCACAUCAGUAAUUAAACUGUGUUUUUUGGGCCAGGGGCAGGGCGUUUUAGCUGGGAGCUCCCAUGGCUGGGGUUUGCCAGCACCCAAGAAGGGGACUUUCUCCAGCACGUUCCAGCUGAUGCUAUAAGAAACCAGUUCCUGCCCGUCCCUUCUAAUUGUCCUCAAGCAGGACAGAAACACUUUCCCUAUUAUCUGAAGCUGCCAAAAGAGCCUUGAGGUUGGCUGAAUGGCGGCUGCUGCGGGCAGGAACCGCAGACCCUGGGGCGAUGCCACUGCCUGCAGUGCCUGCAGUGCAAGGAGGCAGAGCAGAGCCACGACACCCAGAAUUCAUCACAGAUUUGUCAGGGAGACCCAGGAAAGCGAUGCCAAAGCUGCAAGCAGCGAGAAGGCAGCAGAGCUAGGGGGGAGUUUGCAUUUUAGGCCCGCAGGAUACUCCGUUUCUGCACGCAGAGGGGUGCAAGGAUGGCUCAGGGCCUCCCCAGGGAAAGUCCUGAAGGCUCCAUGUGCCUCGGGCUACUUGGGAUUUGCAGAGCAGCAGCCUCCAGGCACAGCCUCCUCUUUGCAGAUGCUCAGAGCAAGCCCUGUGGUGAGGUGCUGCCCCAAAAAGGCUCCCAAAGGAAUUGCUCGGCCUCCUGGCCAAGCUGGCUGGAGUCCCCAUUUCCCCCUGCGAGGAGCAGGCUCUCAUCCAAACUCCCACAGACCUAUUGUGGUCUCAGAGCACUGUCCAGCCUCCAUCUGCAAGAAGAAAGGGUCCUUGGGAGGGUCAUCAGCAUGAGCUCGGCUUGGCUCAAGGAUAUGGACCAACCCCAUCCACACGGGCCUCCGAGCUGUGCUGGACCUACCCAAGGUCCUCUUGGAGGAGCUGCAAGCUGCUGGCAGCUGCUCUGGCGUUUCAAGGUUGACCUCUAGAGGAGGUUUGUAGAGGAGCGAUGGCUGGGACAGCGGCCACGAGGUAGGUGCAGGACCGAAUUGCUCACAGCAGGGUGACAAGGACUUGCAGUGCCCCAAGAACCUAGUGGUGACAGCGAGCGCGGCAUGGUAUGGUGCCACGAUAAAUUGGUCUUCCCCAAUUCAGGCGUGCAGGGAAGGACCACGAGGAAAUAAAGCCUCAUUCCUGCAGCCCCACCACGUGUCCCCAAGGGCUGGAGACCUGUGUGGGGUUUCUGUUAUUGGGAACAAGGCUGAGGACAUGGCAGGGCCAGGUGAGCAGCCCUUCAACACGGGAGGCUCCCCCUCGCUUUCCGUGCUUUUAAAGCCUGACAUGCUCUGCUUUCCUCCUACUGCCCACCGCCCACUCUCUCCUUCCUCUCUAAACGAAACCAUUUAUCACCUAAAAUUAAAUCGGGACCUGAAACCUGCUGUGCUGUCAGGAUGCGAGGGUGUGAACCACAUCAUUUUUCACUGAGCCUUAAAAGAUGACAUAAAUCUCCGCGCCGGAGACCACGGGCGCAGCGAACACGGCUGUGGGCAAACCACUGCACACCCAAACCAUCCUCCCCACAAGAGGGAGAAGGGAGAAAAACCCAACCCAGCUGCCUCUUCCAAAGCCCCAUUUCUUCCCCUGAUGCCCUUGCAUGCCCCACCAACCUCAGGGUUUAGGAUCCCUGCGGUGGUACCCUCUGCCCCAGCACGGCACCAGCUGCACACCAGCUUGGAGACAUCUGCUCCAGCAAAGUUGGGUGAGAGGCUGAGCAGCACCUUCUCCCCAUGUCCUUGCGUGUCUCGACCUCCCCCUGCCCUUGUGCCUCCUGGAGAAGACUUCUCUCCCCUGAGUUUCUCCUCCCCGUAUUGCUCCUGGGACAAGGAGCCACCCUGAGCAUCCCCACCUCGAUCCCCCGAUGGGACACACCGUGAUGAGGAAGAGGAGGUGAUGUGAAGGCCUCCAUUUCACAGCAGCCCCAAGGAGGAUGGGAAGCUCGUCCACCCACCCAUGGGGCAGCAAACAUGGCCACCAGGGCUUUGGGGGCCCAAGGUUGGGUCCUCCUUGCCCCAUGCUGCCAAGCUGGGGAACAGCAAGACUGCUGCUUGCUGGGAUGGGGUUUCAUGGAAAAAAAAAAAAGAGGUGAU